AGAGUUUGAUCCUGGCUCAGAUUGAACGCUGGUGGCAUGCCUAACACAUGCAAGUCGAACGGUAGCAGGCCCGCAAGGGUGCUGACGAGUGGCGGACGGGUGAGUAAUACAUAGGAAUCUGCCUGAUAGUGGGGGAUAACUUAGGGAAACUUAAGCUAAUACCGCAUAAGCCCUACGGGGGAAAGCAGGGGAUCGCAAGACCUUGCGCUAACAGAUGAGCCUAUGUCGGAUUAGCUAGUUGGUAGGGUAAAGGCCUACCAAGGCGACGAUCCGCAACUGGUUUGAGAGAACGACCAGUCACACUGGGACUGAGACACGGCCCAGACUCCUACGGGAGGCAGCAGUGGGGAAUAUUGGACAAUGGGGGCAACCCUGAUCCAGCAAUGCCGCGUGUGUGAAGAAGGCCUUCGGGUUGUAAAGCACUUUCGGUGGGGACGAAAAGCUUGAGGUUAAUACCCUUAAGUGUUGACUUAACCCAAAGAAGAAGCACCGGCUAACUCUGUGCCAGCAGCCGCGGUAAUUC
rnacentral:rRNA from 1 species